AAAAAAACCAUGAGGGUCAGUAAUCCCAUCCUAUCCCCCCAAUUGGAGAUAACUUGAUCAUUAACAGGUUUCUUUAUUUUCUAUCUUAAUUUUUUAUGGUUGUUCGCAUAGGGAGUCUUGGACAUCACCACCACAGAGGUCGCAGACUACUUAAUUGGAGGUGUCAUGACUUGAAGUGGAUAUUUUUAUGGUUCUCUUCCCUUGAACAAUAUUUUAAAUCUCUAUGUUUCUCUCAUCUCACAGGGUUCUCCUUUUUGCAAACUUGUUCGUGAAGUGCUUGUAGAGUUGGAGUUACCACAUUUAGUACGUUGGCUUUAAGGAAUUGUAUUAAGUUUUUUAUGAGAUUCUGGAUUUUCAUUUCCACUCUGUUUGGGAUUUUUGGAUGCUGUCGAUUGGGUUUGCGGGAUUGUUAGCUACUGGCUUUGCAGAUUUGGAGGAAUAUAUAUUGAAGCUGGUGAUGGAGCUGGCCCUGACACUGUGGAGAGUGGCCAAAGUGUACCUGUUGCUGCUGGUGCCGGAGAUACCAACAUUUGUGGUGGUAUUGUUCAGUUGUAUUGGGAAAGGAUUCUGGGACGAAGCUUAGAUUUAAAUGGCCAAGUUCGUCAAAUUGCCCUCAAGGCCAUAGUAAGCUUGUGGGUUGGUGCUGUGAUUAGUAGUUGGUGCAAUUUCAUAACUGUCUUGUAUGUUGGUCAUUUUCUACUAGAGGAGGAUGAUAAGUUUCUAGAUAAGGUUUGAGCUACAGUUUAGGAAGAGGAAUGUCAAGCCCUUGCUGCAUUUGGUGCCUGUUUCCAAUAUUAAUAAUUGUUUGAAGAAGCAUUUUCGAGACCUUUAAAAUGUCGUUCAUCUUUGAAUUUAUAUAAUUCUGUUUGGUUGCAGUUAAUUUUACAAGCGUGCUUUCAUUGUUGGUGGAAUCAGACUUGAAUAAUAUGGGAUUUAUGUGCUUUAAGAUAUGAAUGGGAUUUAUUGUUGCUUUAAGAUAUGAAUGGGAUUUAUGUGCAAGUGCUAAUAGCAUUUUCAUUGUUGGUGGAAUCAGACUUGAAUAAUAUGGUUUCCUACGUAAUGUGACUUGUAGUUUCAA